GACGAACGCUGGCGGCGUGCCUAAUACAUGCAAGUUGAGCGCUGAAGGUUGGUACUUGUACCAACUGGAUGAGCAGCGAACGGGUGAGUAACGCGUGGGGAAUCUGCCUUUGAGCGGGGGACAACAUUUGGAAACGAAUGCUAAUACCGCAUAAAAACUUUAAACACAAGUUUUAAGUUUGAAAGAUGCAAUUGCAUCACUCAAAGAUGAUCCCGCGUUGUAUUAGCUAGUUGGUGAGGUAAAGGCUCACCAAGGCGAUGAUACAUAGCCGACCUGAGAGGGUGGUCGGCCACAUUGGGACUGGGACACGGCCCAAACUCCUACGGGAGGCAGCAGUAGGGAAUCUUCGGCAAUGGACGAAAGUCUGACCGAACAACGCCGCGUGAGUGAAGAAGGUUUUCGGAUCGUAAAACUCUGUUGGUAGGGAAGAACGUUGGUGAGAGUGGAAAGCUCAUCAAGUGACGGUAACUACCCAGAAAGGGACGGCUAACUACGUG
rnacentral:rRNA from 1 species